CGGACGAGUGAGUAACGCGUGGAUAACCUGCCGUAUACAGGGGGAUAACACUUAGAAAUAGGUGCUAAUACCGCAUAAGCGCACGGUUCCGCAUGGAACAGUGUGAAAAACUCCGGUGGUAUACGAUGGAUCCGCGUCUGAUUAGCCAGUUGGCGGGGUAACGGCCCACCAAAGCGACGAUCAGUAGCCGGCCUGAGAGGGUGAACGGCCACAUUGGGACUGAGACACGGCCCAAACUCCUACGGGAGGCAGCAG
rnacentral:rRNA from 1 species